UUAAGCGACCCACAAGCAUAUCCUUCUUUGUCCAAGGUUUGUUUUGAAAGUGGGCAACGCCCUAACUGGGUAGGGGAUAGUUGCCAUCUUAGCUUAGGUAGGGGCUGGCAAGGAAAACGUGUCUGGGGGGCCCUGUAGUCUUCAGAUAGAAAAGUAGGUGCCUUCUGUUAGCCAUGGCUGCUUGGAUGGCCAAAGGCCACUGUGGGUUUUUCAGCAGCGCUUUUAGCAGAAUUCCUUCACACUGCCCCCACCCCACUUGCAGAUGAUGGAAGGCUUGCUGGCAAUUACUGAAAGAAAAUGGGAGGUGGGAAAAUGGAGCUGCAUUUAUAUUUUACUUCCUGAAUGUCAAGGUGAUGCUGGCACAAAUAUUAAAGGGAACAUUCCCCUUCUUUGGGAUAUAGGAAAUGCUGCUGCAAACUUAGAGAUAAGGGAAGAGAUAUGCAGAGUUAAUGAGGACCAGCUUUACCUCUCAAGUGCCCAGAAAUGGCUUUAAUAAUCAGGUCUGGGUUCUUUGAGGCUUCCUUUCUUUAACUUAGACCAUUCCUUCCCAACAGAAAUACAGAUUUCUCCUUUUACCUUCUGGCUGGCCAUUAGAUAGGGGGCUAAAACUUCGAAUAAAUCUCACUGUCAAAAACUUUUGAUUUAUCCAGAAUAUUUGGGUUUUCUCAUUUUUUUUAAAAAGGAAAUAACAGGUUAUUGAAUAAAGAAUUUCAUUAAUGGUUAA
ensembl:lncRNA novel transcript